rnacentral:rRNA from 1 species
UACGUAGGAGACGAGCGUUGUCCGGAAUUACUGGGCGUAAAGCGCGUGUAGGCGGAUGAGCAAGUCUGCUGUGAAAGCUCCUGGCUUAACCGGGAGUGGUCGGUGGAAACUGCUCGUCUGGAGGACGGUAGAGGUAGGUAGAAUUCCCGGUGUAGUGGUGAAAUGCGUAGAGAUCGGGAGGAAUACCUGUGGCGAAGGCGGCCUACUGGGCCGGACCUGACGCUGAGACGCGAA